rnacentral:ncRNA from 2 species
CUACCUUCGCACCGCAAUGGUUUACCCCCUCCGUUGCGGUGCGGGGGUAAUUAAAAGGGAACACGGGUGUAAAUCCCGGACAGUCCCGCUGCUGUAAUUCUCCAUAAAACGCCAGGGCAUUUGUCCGGCCACUGUUGAACAUUCAAUGGGAAGGCCGCCCUGAGCAGAGAUAAGUCAGAAUACCUGCCAUGCAUUUGUUUUUUAA